rnacentral:rRNA from 1 species
CAUGGCGUACUGCUCAGUAACACGUGGAUAACCUACCCUUGAGAUGGGGAUAAACCCGGGAAACUGGGUAUAUACCCAAUAGAUCUCGACUGCUGGAAUGCAUCGAGCUCCAAAGCUUUGGCGCUCAAGGAUGGAUCUGCGGCCUAUCAGGUAGUAGUGGGUGUAGCGUACCUACUAGCCUACGACGGGUACGGGUUGUGAGAGCAAGAGCCCGGAGAUGGAUUCUGAGACACGAAUCCAGGCCCUACGGGGUGCAGCAGGCGCGAAAACUUUACAAUGCUGGAAACAGCGAUAAGGGGACCUCGAGUGCCAGGUUACAAAUCUGGCUGUCGUGAUGCCUAAAAAGCAUUGCAUAGCAAGGGCCGGGCAAGACCGGUGCCAGCCGCCGCGGUAACACCGGCGGCUCGAGUGGUAACCGUUAUUAUUGGGUCUAAAGGGUCUGUAGCCGGCCGGAUAAGUCUCUUGGGAAAUCUGGCAGCUUAACUGUCAGGCUUUCAGGAGAUACUGUCUGGCUUGAGGCCGGGAGAGGUGAGAGGUACUUCAGGGGUAGGGGUGAAAUCUUGUAAUCCUUGAAGGACCACCAGUGGCGAAGGCGUCUCACCAGAACGGACCUGACGGCAAGGGACGAAAGCUAGGGGCACGAACCGGAUUAGAUACCCGGGUAGUCCUAGCCGUAAACGAUACUCGCUAGGUGUCGGCAACGGUGCGACCGUUGUCGGUGCCGUAGGGAAGCCGUGAAGCGAGCCACCUGGGAAGUACGGCCGCAAGGCUGAAACUUAAAGGAAUUGGCGGGGGAGCACCAC